AUUGAACGCUGGCGGCAGGCCUAACACAUGCAAGUCGAACGAGUGGCGGACGGGUGAGUAAUGUCUGGGAAACUGCCUGAUGGAGGGGGAUAACUACGGGAAACGGUAGCUAAUACCGCAUACCAUCAGAUGUGCCCAGCUGGGAUUAGCUAUUUGGUGGGGUAACGGCUCACCAAGCCGACGAUCCCUAGCUGGUCGGAGCGGAUGACCAGCCACACUGGCACUGAGACACGGUCCAGACUCCUACGGGCGGCAGCAGUGGGGAAUAUUGAGCAAUUGGCGCAAGCGUGAUGAAGCCAUGCCGCGUGUAUGACGAAGGCCUUCGGGUUGUAAAGGACUUUCAGCUGGGAGGCGUUACCUGCAGAAGAAGCACCGGCUAACUCCGUGCCAGCAGCCGCGGUAAUAC
rnacentral:rRNA from 1 species